GACGAAGGAUGCAAGCGUUAUCCGGAUUCAUUGGGUUUAAAGGGAGCGUAGGCGGCCUUGUAAGUCAGUGGUGAAAUCUCUGGGCUUAACCCAGAAAUUGCCAUUGAUACUGCAGGGCUUGAGUACAGUUGCCGUUGGCGGAAUAUGACAUGUAGUGGUGAAAUACAUAGAGAUGUCAUAGAACACCGAUUGCGAAGGCAGCUAACGAAACUGUAACUGACGCUGAGGCUCGAAAGCUAGGGGAGCGAACGGG
rnacentral:rRNA from 1 species